AGCACAGAGCCCAAUGUGGGGCUCGAACUCACCAACCAGGAGAUCAUGACCUGAGCCGAAGUUGGAAUCUUAACCAACUGAGCCACCCAGGCGCCCAGAAGAGUCUGGAUUUUUAAAAACUAAAUUAUGUCAGCAUUGUUUUUGAGGUCUGGGGCAUUACUCUUGGUCAAAACAUUAAUAUUUUUGUAGCAAGACGUGAAUAUUCAUGUUAAGUGAAUGCAUUAUGACCAUCAAUGGCCACAUGAGUUCAGGUCACCUGUGGCUGCCAGGUGAGUUUCCUGUAAGCCUAUGAAAAAAGUUUUCUCAGAACUUUCUGUUGUUUGGAAUUGUGGGUAAGACUCUUUCCAGUGGGAAGUGUGGUGCCCGAGAGCUGGAGGCUCCUGCUGGCCGUCCCUUUGUCCCUCAGGCUUCAAAGCCAGGUUGGGUUCUGGUCAUUGUCUUGUGGGAGGUGGUCUGGUCGCAGACUUGCUGGCAGGGAUGGCCCCUAAGGUGAAUGGUGCGAGCUGGGCUGUGCUCUGGUGACAGUGAGUGACAGGUCUGGACGGAAAGCACCGCAGGCUGGUGUUACUCGUGUCUGGGAAAUGGAGGUGGGCCGGCUCAGCCCGUGUUACCCGCACUUUGCCCUUUAGGUUCCCAGAGCAGCUGCCGGGGGCUGAGCAGGGGGGCCGGUCCCCCGGGCUCCAGGGCAGCGAGGGCCUAGCCUUCCCGGGUUCGCUUGGUGGUGGGCGGGCCCUGGAGCAUCCGGGAAAAGCAGCCCCCAGGAUGGGCGGUUCACGUCGGCGGGCCUGCCAGGCAGCGUGGGUAGCUCCCGGCCCCCGCACCGCCGGGGAGACUGCACCCAGCUGGGGCGGAGCAGGGUGGUGGGGGGGGGCUCCUGUAGCCAGGGGUGCGGGCUGCCCACACGCACCCACUCGAGGGCACUGAGGACGACAGGACAGGCCUUGGCCCCAGCCUCCCGCCGGACACCUGGAGCCUCUGAGCAGACACCACGGAUUCUAGGCUGUGCCUCUUGACAGGUUGGAUCCUGACACGAGAUGACAUGGGGUGUCCAGCUUGGGUGGGUGCUCAGCCCGGUAGUCCCGGUCCUCGGGCCUCACUGGCCCCUGGAGGGGAUGCUGGCCCAGCUGUGAGGCCCGGCUCGCCCCUGCCCCCCCGCUGUUUCCUUGGACAUUCUGACCGAACGUGUGAACUGGUGUGGUUCCCGGGACUUCAGCUGUAGGUGGAACGUUGCUAGAGGCCAGGAGGAAGGACAGUGGCACCUGGGUGGUGCCAUAACUCCCAACUGGUACAGGGCCGCGCGGCUGCUUCCAGCUGCUCUGUUAGUGGCUUGAUUAGCAUCAGUAGUUGCAGGAGUUGUGGGCAGGGAUUGUGGACAGAGCAGGUGUGUUCCCUGCCCGGGGCAGCCUGUCCAGUCUGUGUGUGGGGACACAGCUGGUGGCCACAGCCUCACCCCUGACUUUGGCAGCAUGGCCUUAGGUGCUUUUUCUGGUGGGGCAGGUCUAAGGUGGGCCCCGCGCAGCUGUGUCCGGACUCCCACGGGCAGGGGCAGCCAUGGGAGGGCCCGAGAGCAGUGUAGCGACCCGACCGCCUUUGCAGUCCUUAGAAAGGCGACUCCUGAGCGGCUCAGUCAGUUAAACAAGUCUGACUCUUGAUUUCGGCUCAGGUCAUGACCUCCAGGUUCGUGGGUUCGAGCUCCGUGCCAGGUUCUUGUGCUGACAGUGCAGAGACUGCUUGGGAUCCUCUCUCCCCCCUCUCUGCUGGUGCGUGCUCUCAAGGAAAGCUGUGUCCAGAACUUUCCAGAAGUAGCCUAAGGAGCAGAGGCAGAGCUGAGCACACGGCUCUUGCUUCCCACCUUUGGGAGCAAGCCUUUGAAAAGGACCCUGGAAUGUGAGUGGUGACUUCAGAUGACUGAACCUGUGCUCGCGUGGCUCAUGAUUGGGGUGAUAGCCCGGAGGCGCCUUGUGGUAAUUGUGUGUUGUGCGCAUUGAAGGUAAACUUGACUUUUUGAAGAAACAGGUUAAAUUUUCAAGAUACAUGCUGCCUUUUUUUCUUUUCUUUUUUUUUUAAGUGAUUUUAUUUUUGAGAGAG